ensembl:snoRNA
UUCUGUGCGGCUGAUGACAGCACUGCUGCUGAGACUCUGUGAUUGCUUAGUCUCAAAGUAAACGCCCUGACGCACUGUGG